AUAUUUUUGGUGAAUGAACUCGAGACGGAAAGAAUGAGGCAGCGGAGAGGUAGUGGGGAGUCUCUAAUGGUGGUUGCCCUCUCUCUGUUUCCUAUGAUUUCCUUUUCCAUUUUCACCAAACGGGGCACUAAUAAACCACCAUUCAUCUUAAGUGUUUAAUUGGUCUAGCUCUGAUCUAUACACACACACACACAUAUAUAUAUAUAUAUAUAUACACACACAAUAGGUGAAAAAGGGUUUAGGAUUUAAAACCUAACCCUUUUUCCCUGCUGCUUCUUCUUCCUCAUCAUCAAAAUUAUUAUUAUUAUUAUUAUUAUUAUUAUUACUCCCCUUUUUGCUGCUUCUUCUUCUUCUCCUUCCUCAUCAGCAAAAUUAUUAUUACUCCCUCCGUUACAAUUUAUUGUUACUGUAUCGGAUGAGAGGCUGUGAUGAUUAAGGUGUCGUCUAGAGUUCGUCGGGGUAAUGGAGCAGCCCGUAUCUUGGCGGGGCGACCCGGAAGGUACUAUUUUAAUAGUGCAACUGCGGUUUGCAGCCAUGGCGGUUGCUUUGUCUCCGUUCCCCUGAUUUUAUCACAGAUCUGAGCCUCAAUAUACCCCCAAAAAAGUACUAUUUAUGUUUGAUAAUUUCAAAUUUUGCUUUAAUGAAGUUACAUUUGCU
rnacentral:lncRNA from 1 species